GGCAAAGCCCGUCUGCGCGGGCUA
rfam:Roseiflexus sp. RS-1, complete genome.